UGGGGAAUUUUGGACAAUGGGCGAAAGCCUGAUCCAGCAAUGCCGCGUGUGUGAAGAAGGCCUUCGGGUUGUAAAGCACUUUUGUCCGGAAAGAAAUCCUUGGCUCUAAUACAGUCGGGGGAUGACGGUACCGGAAGAAUAAGCACCGGCUAACUACGUGCCAGCAGCCGCGGUAAUACGUAGGGUGCAAGCGUUAAUCGGAAUUACUGGGCGUAAAGCGUGCGCAGGCGGUUUGCUAAGACCGAUGUGAAAUCCCCGGGCUCAACCUGGGAACUGCAUUGGUGACUGGCAGGCUAGAGUAUGGCAGAGGGGGGUAGAAUUCCACGUGUAGCAGUGAAAUGCGUAGAGAUGUGGAGGAAUACCGAUGGCGAAGGCAGCCCCCUGGGCCAAUACUGACGCUCAUGCACGAAAGCGUGGGGAGCAAACAGGAUUAGAUACCCUGGUAGUCCACGCCCUAAACGAUGUCAACUAGCUGUUGGGGUUUUAUUAACCUUAGUAGCGCAGCUAACGCGUGAAGUUGACCGCCUGGGGAGUACGGUCGCAAGAUUAAAACUCAAAUGAAUUGACGGGGGUCAUAGCUG
rnacentral:rRNA from 1 species